CCCUGGGGUUUUAGCAGGGGUUUUCUUUCUCAAUCUUAAAAAUGUCGACGGCGGAUUCCCUGUCGGCUUCUGGACGGAGCUCGGAGAAGUUGAGCCUUCCAUCUCUCCAAUCCAAAAUGAAAAUAGACCCAGAAGGUUACGAAAAGAAUCUGGUCUGGUUUACAGCCAAUUCAAGUCGGCUGUGGAGCUUUUUCAACAGCAAGCAGCUCUCAAUUUCUCCACAGCCUCCUGUAUCUGCGCUGACCCGGCCAUUUCCAAGCAUCUCAGUGACCGCGCCACGUUUUUGGCUCAUGUUACAUCCUCUUACCCGAAGCAACUCGCUGAGUUUCUCAAAUCGUCUGCUCGGACACUGCCUUCAGGUCUUCGGUAUCAUGAUACUCAAGCGCUUAUUCUACUGAUUAACCGAAGGGCAUACCCAACACCAUUGUUACAAGUACUUGCAAAUGUUUGAGUAAAGAUAACACAUGCGAAAGCCAAUGGUUUAAAUUAGUUAAUAGAACAAGAAGUUCAACCAUGACAAAACCCUCGUCACCGAUCAGUUCAAUCCUCAAUUUCCCAGCGAAGGAUUUCUUAUGGAAGUUCUUAGGCUCAGUAUAAACUUGUAUAGCAGAAGCUGCCUACGGAGCAAUUUUACAAGGUGCUACUUUGGACAUUCUAGAAGUUCAUUGUCAGGCAUCUCAAGUAAUAUAACAAUAGUCAGGUUGAAUUUAUUUCUGACACAUUCCUUAUCUCUAAACAGGCUGUUCUAUCAUACAAGCCCAGUCAAAACAUUCUCUCUGUACUUUUUUGAAUUGCCCAUUAAUUUGUGAUUAUUAUUUUCUAAUUUUGUGAAUUUGAUUGACAUAAUGUGUUUGUAGAUGGUUGAUAUUAGUGAAAACACUAGCGUUAUAUAUGGGGCUUCAAACACUGGGAAAUAGGACAUUGAGGAAAUUGGCUUUUACUCAUGUUGUUCAUAGCAUUAGGAGGAUGAAUAAGCAGCAUAAAAUGAGGCUAACAAUCGGGUCCUUCAAAAUAUCCUCUUUUCCAUGCUGCAGGUUUGUAAUUUUUUGCAGCCUGGAUUAUGAUUUAUCUUUGUGCUUUCGUAGGUUUGGACCGGUUGUUUUUUUAUAAAAAAAUGUUCACGUAGCAAGAUGAUGAAGUAUGAGCGAACAAAGCGCUUAUUACCCCAUGUGAACUUCACUGAAGGAAGUUUUUGAAACUUGAUUGCAUUUGUCAGAAUCAUGAUUGCUGCUCUGUCAUUUCUCCUUGAUUAUGAGAAGAUUGAAGAUGGUGAUUGUGAUGCUUCAAGUGGCGAAGAUGAUCCGAAUCCUCAAACCGCUCAAGUUGUCAUUAAUAAAGAGUAUCUAUAAGGGGUCAGAUACCCUAUAUUUUGUUUAUUGCGAAAUUCUAGAGGCAGCCAUUCGACAGUAACUAGCAACCUGUGCUAUCAUAGUAGUCCACAUGGCUAGUAACUUAUUGCUAACUCGUUAAACAUGUAGCUUGCCUAGAAGAAAAUAGAAGAAAAAACAGAGCCACCAACAUGAACAUGAAUCCCCAAGGUAACCCAUCACUUUGGUCCUCUUACUCAAUCUCUCUAUCCACCCCAAAAAAACAGCACAACAGUAUACGCAGCAGCCUAACGUCACAUGAAACCGAACACCCAAAUCAGCCUUAACUUGUGUUUUCAAGUUCCAAUUUAUAUGGUCAAUGGUAUAUUACCCAACCUCACCCCUUUCUUGUUGGCAGAAUUGGCAUUGAUGCACUGAAGGAGAUGUUAUGAUUAAUCAAAUUAAAGAUUGAAAAAUCAUGGUUAGUUUACCAUAGUUUGUUGUUUUUUGUUCAAAAUUCCGGGCAAGCCAUAAAGGUACAGUAGCUAGUAAAAAGAAAAGGAAAGCAACACUGCACCGUGUCAUAUGUAGCAUGAAAAGGCAGCAAAGAUUGUCAUUGGAAAACAGCAAUUCGAAUUGUUAUUCACUAUUUUACCAUCUCAAAGAUGCAUAGGGGGUUGCUGAGAAGUUAAUUUGUCGCCUUCAGACUUGCGAUGAAUGUUUUCAGUUUUUUCCCCUGCAAAUUUACUGUCUCGGACUUCAUCUUCUUCUGUUUCUCGGGUUCUCUUCCCUCCUCACUGUUUUGUUGUAUCAGGUGCCUCCUGAUGCAGAUGAGCCACUGUUCAAACAAAUAGCAAACCAGUUUGCACAUGAUCGUUCACGUCCCGAGGU